rnacentral:rRNA from 1 species
CACGUAGGGCGCAAGCGUUGUCCGGAAUUAUUGGGCGUAAAGAGCUCGUAGGCGGUCUGUUGCGUCCGCUGUGAAAACUCGGGGCUUAACCCCGAGCCUGCAGUGGAUACGGGCAGACUAGAGGUAGGUAGGGGAGAAUGGAAUUCCCGGUGUAGCGGUGAAAUGCGCAGAUAUCGGGAGGAACACCGGUGGCGAAGGCGGCCUGCUGGGCAGUUGCUGACACUGAGGCGCGACAGCGUGGGGAGCAAACAGG